rnacentral:snRNA from 1 species
AUGCUCGCUUUGGCAGCACAUGUGCUAAAACUGAAGUGAUACAGGGAGGGGUGGUGUGGCCCCGGACUAGGAUGGCAUGCAUAUUUGUGAAGCGUUCCAUCUUUCU